GACGAACGCUGGCGGCGUGCUUAACACAUGCAAGUCGAACGGAAAGGCCCUGCUUUUGUGGGGUGCUCGAGUGGCGAGCGGGUGAGUAACACGUGAGUAACCUGCCCUUGACUUUGGGAUAACUUCAGGAAACUGGGGCUAAUACCGGAUAGGAGCUCCUGCUGCAUGGUGGGGGUUGGAAAGUUUCGGCGGUUGGGGAUGGACUCGCGGCUUAUCAGCUUGUUGGUGGGGUAGUGGCUUACCAAGGCUUUGACGGGUAGCCGGCCUGAGAGGGUGACCGGCCACAUUGGGACUGAGAUACGGCCCAGACUCCUACGGGAGGCAGCAGUGGGGAAUAUUGCACAAUGGGCGGAAGCCUGAUGCAGCAACGCCGCGUGCGGGAUGACGGCCUUCGGGUUGUAAACCUCUUUCGCCUGUGACGAAGCGUGAGUGACGGUAAUGGGUAAAGAAGCACCGGCUAACUACGUG
rnacentral:rRNA from 1 species